GGGAGCGCGGAGGAUGCUGGGAGUGGUGGUUCUCCGCACGCACCGGCGUUUUCCGUUACCUCGCCCGAUUCCCAAGGCAGAUAGAUACUGAGGUGCCAUGGAUAAGCCACAAGGAGGUGAUGUGCUCCCCACCAUGUUGCUCUGCUUUGCCCUGGGCCAAGAAAUAAUGGAAGCAAACAAUUGCUGGGGGCUCAUAAAUGAUAUGUGUUAAGGAAGACUUUGGACUUGGAUUUUUCAGCAAUACUAGAACAGCCUAUGGCACCACUGGGAGAUGACAGAAUCCUUGGGGAGUGAGACUAGAUGGAAGGAAGUUAAUUCAUGGAGGAUGUACCCUUGAAGACAAUAUUGGGAUCCCAGCUUUUUCUCCCUCUCUCAGACUGCUCCUGGCCACCAUGAAGUAAACAGCUCCCAAGCAUGGCACUCCCCUUUGCCAACCAACUGUAGAUGGAAACCUCCGACAAUGUGAGUCAAAAGAAAUCUCUCAAGGUGCUUUCCUCCUGUAUUCUCCGACAGCUGCAGAAAUCUAACACACACAUAGGAAUCAAAUAAACCAAGUUAUUUUCAUCAUACAGUGGGAAAAUUGACACAAGAUAAAUACCAUAAAUGGCCCCAAUCAAAACAACUGUGUGAAAGCAAAGGGGACAUAUGACCAACAAACAGUCCGUAUCGAAAGGCAGCUGAGCAUGGCACAGAGUCUUUCGUUUAAAACUACACCUGCUUGCAAAGUGUGAUUCUCCGGCUUCUAAUCUCAGUCUCUGGGAGGGCUGAGAUUUGGCCCUCUGAAUAUACCUUCCUUUUUUGUAGAGAAUGGCUUGCGUUUACACAAAAGGAGUCUCAGCCUGAUUCAUGCCUGCGUAUAUUUGAGGGUUCAGAGUACCUUUCCGGUUCUUUUUAAGUAUGUUUCCUUUAGUCUAACCUGUAUUUUCUCUGCGAUUAUGCCUUAUUUAUUUUUUCAGGUGAGAACUUUUUAUUAUGAGUAUCAGAUGAUUUUGUUGACUUGCUGUUGUGUUACAUCAUAGAGACAGGAAAGAUUUCUCACAUUGUUAGCCUUAUAACCCCUGAUUGAGUUGUGUUUUACAUUCACGUAAAUAUAUAAAUGCAACCUGCUGAAUCCA